UGUCUUAUGCAAGUCCUGUGCACAAGGUA
rnacentral:piRNA from 1 species